UCCGGCCUCUCAUUCUGUCUUCACAUGGCGGUGUUAAUGCGUGCAGCUCUCAAAAAGAGCUUUAGUUCUGUCUUUGUUUGGAAGAUGGGUGUUACCUAAUCAAUGCAAUGAUGUACUUCUUGUGAACUUCUCAUCCAGACUGAGUUCUCUAAUCUGCACCACAUGGCUAACAGUAACCGGUGAACAGGUGGUUCUGUUGCUUCAUGGGCUGCAAUGAACCUGAUUUAUAACCAACAAGUGGGCCGAAGCAAUUUUGUCUCUCUACCUGAAUCAGUUCCAUGCCAUGGAAUUAAGAAGCAGGACAAAUGAAGCAGGUAGCAUUUGAGAUGGUGACUAAAGACAAGUGCCGUAUUUAUCGAUGUAAAGAAUGUCUUCCUUGAUGUCCUUGAUCUGUAUAAUUUUGAAGCCUUUUAAAUAAAAGUUGUGAGAAA